GUCUGAUAAACAGGUAGACAGACAGAUAGACAGUCUGAUAAACAGGUAGACAGACAGAUAAACAGGUAGACAGUCAGAUAAACAGGUAGACAGUCAGAUAAACAGGUAGACAGUCAGAAGCAGGUAGACAGUCAGAAACAGGUAGACAGACAGAUAAACAGGUAGACAGACAGAUAGACAGGUAGACAGACAGGUAGACAGUCAGAUAGACAGGUAGACAGUCAGAUAAACAGGUAGAAAGGCAGAUAGACAGGUAGACAGUCAGGUAGUUAGGUAGACAGACAGAUAAACAGGUAGACAGGCAGGUAGACAGUCAGAUAGACAGGUAGACAGGUAGACAGGUAGAUAAACAGUCAGAUAGUCAGGUAGACAGACAGAUAAACAGGUAGACAGACAGAUAAACAGGUAGACAGUCAGAUAAACAGGUAGACAGGCAGAUAGACAGGUAGACAGACAGAUAAACAGGUAGACAGACAGAUAAACCGGUAGACAGUCAGAUAGACAGUCAGAUAGACAGGUAGACAGACAGAUAAACAGGUAGACAGUCAGAUAAACAGGUAGACAGGCAGAUAGACAGGUAGACAGACAGAUAAACAGGUAGACAGGCAGAUAGACAGGUAGACAGACAGAUAGAC
rnacentral:lncRNA from 1 species